AGGCCCUUUCCCCACAAGAUGAAGUAUAAAGCUGUUAUGGCACCAUUUAUGAUAGAUGGCACUACCUGUUGAUUAGAGAGUGGUCUCCCUUUCCAAGGCUUUUGCAAAGCCAAAAACAGGNNNNNNNNNNNNUGAAGAUAAAAAGUACCACUGAAGCUCCAGUCUGAGACAAGUAGCGAUACAUGGAAUAAACUGACCAUAUUCUCAAGAAGAUUCCAAUAAUAUGGAUUAUCAGCAAAGGAGUGUGUCCGAAAUGAGAAGAACCUCGACCUUCACUGGUUUGCUUCGGAGAGAUCAUUUUGUUUGUCCGUUCUACAUAGGGAAAUUUAAUCGAAGAGCGUUGAUCUCUGCGGCAGAGUAACUC
rnacentral:misc_RNA from 1 species